AUACGAAGGGCCCGAGCGUUACUCGGAAUCAUUGGGCUUAAAGCGCGUGUAGGCGGGACGUCAGGUAUCUUGUGAAAUCCCCGGGCUCAACUCGGGAAUUGCAGGGUAAACCGGCGUUCUUGAGGCAGGUAGAGGUGACUGGAACAACUGGUGGAGCGGUGAAAUGCGUAGAUAUCAGUUGGAACGCCGGAGGCGAAAGCGAGUCACUGGACCUGUCCUGACGCUGAGACGCGAAAGCGUGGGUAGCGAACAGGAUUAGAAACCCGGGUAGUCC
rnacentral:rRNA from 1 species